rnacentral:misc_RNA from 1 species
AGUUUCAGUGAAUCAUCAUUCUCUAUGGGAAAAGAAUGAUCCAUCAAAAAAUCCAAUCACGCGCAAUGAUCAGUUCAUCAAAAAAUUUAAGACAAAAAAGGGAGAGACUACUGUAGAAUUGUGAUGAAAACAAGUGAAAAUGAACAAUGUUAGAUAUGAUGAAUCCCAAUAUUCAAUUUACUUUUAUAGGUAGACAAGAAAGGAUAUGGAAUUGCGCAUAUUAAUAAAAGUUUUUCAUAAACAUGAGAAAUCAGAAUGUACCAUAUCAUUUUUUGAUCAUGAGCCACUAAUUUCUUUAAACAGUAAAGAUAGUUUGGAAAAUGUUUUACUACACUUAGCAGUCACUCCACAACUAGUUUGGGAUUAAGGCUU